rnacentral:piRNA from 1 species
AUACAGGCAUAUGAGGACCCAGGGAG